UGAAUGUACAGUAAGGAAUGGAGGUUGCCAGCAGAGAUGCACAAACACUCUGGGUCCCUACCACUGUGAAUGUGAUGCAGGUUACAGACUUCAUGCUGAUGGAUCCACCUGCAUAGAGACAGACCCCUGUGCAAGUGGAAAUGAAGGGUGUUCGCACAUCUGCCAACAUGAAAGUGGACUUGCAAAAUGUGAAUGCUAUUCUAGAUACCACCUUUCCGCAGAUGGGAAGUCAUGUCCAGAUGUUGAUGAGUGUUCAGAGGGGACAACCAGGUGCUCUCAUCUCUGUGUGAACACUCUGGACUCCUUUGCCUGCCUUUGUAAUCCUGGGUUUGAAAAGGAGCUGAUGGAAGGCAAUGUUCCCCUUUAGAUGAAAACAAGCUGGAAGAAGUGGAACAAGAAGAGCUGGAGAUUGCCAGCAUCCCUGACCUUCACUUUAGAAGAACACCUCACCUCCUCCACUACGGUACUUCACUAGACUCCUUCUUUGAUGGUCAGGUUGAAGACAUCC